AACGAACGCUGGCGGCAGGCUUAACACAUGCAAGUCGAGCGCCCCGCAAGGGGAGCGGCAGACGGGUGAGUAACGCGUGGGAAUCUACCCAUCUCUACGGAAUAACGCAUGGAAACGUGUGCUAAUACCGUAUACGUCCUUCGGGAGAAAGAUUUAUCGGAGAUGGAUGAGCCCGCGUUGGUUUAGCUAGUUGGUGGGGUAAAGGCCUACCAAUGCGACGAGCCAUAGCGGGUCUGAGAGGAUGAUCAGCCACACUGGGACUGAGACACGGCCCAGUCUCCUACGGGAGGCAGCAGUGGGGAAUAUUGGACAAGGGGCGCAAGCCUGAUCCAGCCAUGCCGCGUGAGUGAUGAAGGCCCUAGGGUUGUAAAGCUCUUUCACCGGUGAAGAUAAUGACGGUAACCGGAGAAGAAGCCCCGGCUAACUUCGUGCCAGCAGCCGCCGUAAAAC
rnacentral:rRNA from 1 species